rnacentral:rRNA from 1 species
CCUACGGGAGGCAGCAGUGAGGAAUAUUGGUCAAUGGACGCAAGUCUGAACCAGCCAUGCCGCGUGCAGGAAGACGGCUCUAUGAGUUGUACACUGCUUUUGUACGAGGGUAAACGCAGAUACGCGUAUCUGUCUGAAAGUAUCGUACGAAUAAGGAUCGGCUAACUCCGUGCCAGCAGCCGAGGUAAUACGGAGGAUUCAAGCGUUAUCAGGAUUUAUUGGGUUUAAAGGGUGCGUAGGCGGUCGGAUAAGUUAGAGGUGAAAUCCCGAGGCUCAACUUCGGAAUUGCCUCUGAUACUGUUCGGCUAGAGAGUAGUUGCGGUAGGCGGAAUGUAUGGUGUAGCGGUGAAAUGCUUAGAGAUCAUACAGAACACCGAUUGCGAAGGCAGCUUACCAAGCUACUUCUGACGUUGAGGCACGAAAGCGUGGGGAGCAAACAGGAUUAGAUACCCUGGUAGUC